rnacentral:rRNA from 1 species
AUGGGAGCCUAUACGGCCAUGCCUGUAAAUGAAAUAGAAACCACGUCCUUGGGGGAGGAGAGCCAGGAGACGCGUCGGCAUCGGCGGCAUCGAGAAGCUCCCAGCAGAGACACAUACGGGGCGCCCGGAGGGAAGCGGUCACACAGAGGCAGCGACCACACACGCCGACGGAGGCCACGGGCACCCCGGCGACAGACCAUGCGCUGCGCCUCGGUGCACUUGUAG